AGGGCUUUAUCUUAAUUUUAAAGAACUUGAGUUGCAUUUAAGUGAUGUAGGUUAGUGUCCUGCAAGCUCUAC
rnacentral:tRNA from 1 species